rnacentral:lncRNA from 1 species
UGAAGGGCAUGGAAAACAGUUUGAGUGUGCUGUGCAAAUGGGUGUGUAUGAUAAAUGACCCUCAUUUAGUCAAUACUGAUGGCGGCUGAGUCCUCCUUUCAAUUUAAUCCUUAUGUAAAACUGGCCUGUCCCAGGGAAGACUGGCCACGGUGGCGUGGCACUGUAGGGCAGAGUCCUUUGUGCAGAAGAAAUAAUGAACCACUGUGUGAUGGGAGCCGCUCCAUUAUUUAUGCUGUCCUCAGUUUACCUGUGUGUAGGGUGUAAAGACGAUGCAAGGUACUUGCACUUCUUGAUUGGUUUCCCAAGUUGUUUCUUUGCUCAGCUCUGGAAGUACACUGUUUCCUUAAGGUAUGAAGAAGUGGUUUUGAGAAGUAUCUUUCCCUUCCCUCCCUCGCUCUCUGAGACAUCCAGGAUGGAAGAGGCACCGGCUAUUGUGAGAGAUCCCACAGCAUUUCGUUUGGAGUCUGGAGGCCAUCUGCUCACAUUUCUUCAUUCUCAGCUGUCUUUCCCAGUUGAUCACAAGGGUCAUCUCACUGUGGAGUUAUCACCUAAUUUCCACCUCAUCCCACUUCCAUCUCAUCUUGGAGUUGGAGACUUCAUGAGCUAUCUCCUCAGUGCUGUUAAUACUGUCAGGAAGAAAGAGAACUGACAUCUCUUGUGACAGAUUUGAUUUCUCUGGUAGAAUUUUAAGCACUGUGGUGGAGCCUUCUCAACAUUCCUAAAAUGGGGUAUGUCUCUGGGGGCCAGUGCCAAGAUUGUUUGUGACCCCCUGCUCUGAAGACCAUGUGUGAUCUCAGAGGAUACGUGGAGGGGUGUGGGGAGGGGCAGGUGCUUUGUCCAUGGAGGAGAGGCCAAGUGGAGCAGUUCUGUAAUAGAGAAGAACAAAUCUGACUCCUUAUUGGAUCUGUUUCUUUCACUUUAAUCUUUAUAGUCUAUUGCUUUUGCUACAAGUUAAAAAUGUUGCCUAUAGCCUGAAAAUUAUAGGAUAGCCAAGACUCUGACCUUUAGAGGCAUAACACUUUUCCAUUCAUAUAGAGAUAGGUUUCAGAAUAGAAAACAACUUUUGUCUUAUUGGAUGUUC